rnacentral:rRNA from 1 species
UACAGAGGUCCCAAGCGUUGUUCGGAUUCACUGGGCGUAAAGGGUGCGUAGGUGGCCGGGAAAGUUCGAUGUGAAAGCUCGGAGCUCAACUCCGAAAUGGCAUUGAAUACUAUUCGGCUUGAGGGUCGGAGGGGAGACUGGAAUUCUCGGUGUAGCAGUGAAAUGCGUAGAUAUCGAGAGGAACACCAGUGGCGAAGGCGAGUCUCUGGACGACUCCUGACACUGAGGC